AAUUAUUUAGUAAUCAAAUCAAGAUUAUAUUACGGGAAGGAAACAACAGUCUUAGAACAGGCUACAAGAGCAAAGUUGACCGACAAGCCUGUGAAAACAUGGAGGCCAGCCAGGUGCGUUCAGUAAGUGCCAUGUUAGUAUUGUGGGUUACAUUCAAUCCAAACAUGUCUAAACAUGUUCCUACGACUGUGCAGUUUACAACAUUCAAGAGUUGCAUCAUUAAAACCUGACCCUUGUAAAGUGUCAAUGUUUGACACCCUAUUUUUCAUUA